UCAACGAACCGAAUGUCGCUACAUGAUGCUGCAAUGAAGGAUCCAGAAGCAUCGUGUAAGAUUGCACCUGAACCCCCUGAACCACUGUCCUCAGAAAAAGAGGCAUCUACGUUGAGUUUUACAAAUCCCUCACUUGGCUUGGUCCAUCCAUGUCUCUCAAUCUGGCCUGGACCCUUUUUCUUUGCUCUUGAGAAGUUCUUGGACAGCGUCGAAAUUGCUUGUGCUGAUCUGGGUUGUUUCUUCUUAAUUAAAAUGCCACAGGGCAAAUCCUAGUUGGUCUAGUUUUAAGAACAGAGCAGUGGCCGGUUGGUUAGUGCACAUGCCAAUGAGCUCAGGCAUCCGUGCUCGAGGCGUGGCCUCCGCAGGGUGCCUCACUUCUGCCUAAACAACAUACAGUUUUUGUUUUGGAACAGCGAGCUUCCUCGUCGAUUUCUAUUAGAGAAAAACAACAUAUAGUUAAGGGAGGGAAACUUCCCCCAUUAACCAUGUAUUUUAAUUUUUGGCAUGCUUUGCUGUCCUAAUUGUGCAUGCUGAGAGUUAAUGUUUCAUGCUAUUUUGAGAACAUAUCUAGCCAUUAAAGGUGGUCAUGAUUUAUUUCUGUCCUGUUCAAUAGUUGUCAUGCAACCUGCCAGUCAAAGAAAACAAAUUCAUUACAUAGCAGGAAAGGCAUCUCUAUCCCACCAAAUUUGCAUAUUAUGCUCAUCAGUUAAUGUUUGAGGGCCAUUCACAUUUUUGGAACGGCUUUAAUUUACCAUUCACAUCUUAAGUUCCUGCUACUAUUGUUGUUGUAUACUGCUUCCUAACUGAAAUAAGAAUACAUGAUGGCUAUGGAACAUUUGAAAGCAUGAAAGAGCAGCUUAUGUACAUUUAGUUUGAAACUGUACUGUUUUUUCAAUUUCGCAUGAAAGACAUUACUGUGAAACUAUGGAAGCAUAUUUCUGUUGCAUUUAGAUGACUUGCGUGUUAUGAGUUUUAAUUGAAUAUAUCUGCAGGGAUCAACUCGCUUUGCUUUUGGGGUUCUUGUACUUGGGCCAUGUAUCUGAUGCCUUUGAUGAAAUGGAGGAUGGGCAUGAUGGUGCUGAGAAAUAUGCUCACUGGAUAUAGCACUCAAGCCUUGGUAUUAUUCAUUAAGAAUUAGCCAUCAUGUAUUUUCUAUGGUUGUAUUAGGCUUUUUUAAGCAAAGACAUGUUGUAAACAAGCUGAAUUUGUUGAACUCUAUCUGUAAUGAGUGUUGUACUGUACUUUUGUACUGGAAGCAUGACAUUGUCUGUUUAUCCUUGUUCAGUCCUUAACCUGGCCAUGUUUGCAGCCACAUCAUGCUCUGCUCAGCAUGCUCAUGCAUCAUCUUGCUUUUAAGCAUCUGAUGAUUUGUUACAGGUUGUUGUUGCCCAUGCUGUUUCCAGUGUCCGAGUUAAUGUUUUGUUGGGUGCCUUUUCAGAAUCAGGAAAGCAACAUUUAUCUUGUCAUGUUCAAGUCACAUUUUGAUUUUUGAGGCUUCUGGAAAAAA
rnacentral:lncRNA from 1 species